CCUACGGGAGGCAGCAGUGAGGAAUAUUGGACAAUGGGCGCAAGCCUGAUCCAGCCAUGCCGCGUGCAGGAAGAAGCAUCUAUGGUGUGUAAACUGCUUUUGUACAGGAAGAAACACUCCCUCGUGAGGGAGCUUGACGGUACUGUAAGAAUAAGGACCGGCUAACUCCGUGCCAGCAGCCGCGGUAAUACGGAGGGUCCGAGCGUUAUCCGGAAUCAUUGGGUUUAAAGGGUCCGUAGGCGGUUUAAUAAGUCAGUGGUGAAAUCUGGUCGCUCAACGAUCAAACGGCCAUUGAUACUGUUAGACUUGAAUUAUAAGGAAGUAACUAGAAUAUGUAGUGUAGCGGUGAAAUGCUUAGAUAUUACAUGGAAUACCAAUUGCGAAGGCAGGUUACUACUUAUGGAUUGACGCUGAUGGACGAAAGCGUGGGGAGCGGAACAGGAUUAGAUACCCUGGUAGUCCACGCCGUAAACGAUGGAUACUAGCUGUUCGGAGNAUNUGAGUGGNGUAGAGAAGAGAGUAAGUAGUACCACCGUCGGGAGGUACGGUUCGGUCGAAGAAGUUAGUAAACGUUAAAGUUAAAGUAAGUUAGUUACGGCGNGAGAGNGCGACGGACGACGACGAGGGAGGAGG
rnacentral:rRNA from 1 species